rnacentral:misc_RNA from 1 species
GCAAUGCAUUACUUGUUGUAGUAACUUAACUUGUAGUAACGUAAAAAAACUACUUUAUUUCACUACUUCAAUUAUUAAUAAGAAUUGCUCGAGACAUUUAGUUAACCCUGAACUGCGUAACAAAAGAACAGGAAGUGUUUUUCACACCGAAAUACAAGCCACUGAAUAUCGACCAUCAAACACUGUAGCCAGAUCGAUGAUCUUCAUUAUUGCACCUAAAUGCAAGCUAUUCCCGGUGUUUUAAGAUGACAUCCACAUGGACACUACACAGCUAGAAGUUCGACCUCUUCAUAUCGUUGGCUGACCGAUGUUCUUUCUUUAAGCUCCCUCGGUCGAUUCCAACGCCCAAAAGAACCCCACCUGUUUACAGCCAAUUACAUUUAAGUUUCCAACACUCGGAUGACAAAUAUUAAACGAAUCAGAACAGAGGAGAAUUCCUUGUUUACAUUUCUAUAUUCGCCCUAAUCAAGAUGGUUCGAUUCCAUUACUUAAUUCGAUGGUUCUUAAAACGCAAAAAAUGCUAAUUAUUCAUACCAAAUGGGACCGACUUAAUUAAAUGAAAAUAAACACAAAGCACUUAGAUAAACAACCCUAUUCUGUAACUACAAAUCGAAUAGAAAUGAGUAAAAUCGAAUAGAGGUCAGCAAGUCGGAUCGGAAUUUGCAGGAAUUGGUAUUCUGUAACUCAUCUCGAUCUCUACUAUCGAAAUGUUAAAUAGAAAUGGAUUCCGAGUAGACAAGCGCUGUCGAAAUUACAAUUCCGCAUCGGAAUUGGUCUUGACGCUUGCGCAUUAUUGGUAUUAUUGUUUUGACGUUUAUGUUAUUUAAUGGUUAUGUAUUUGUUAAAUAAUAAUUAUUUUUGUAGCUGCGUAAUUUUUUAGCCUGUGGUGUUAUUUGUUAAGAUAAUUGUAUAUUUAAUUUUUGUCGUGUACAAUGGAUGGCCAAAUAGAUAUGGGUAUCAUUCUUGGGAGAGAAAUAGAAGCAGAGCUACAAAGACAACUUUUUAAGUUACAAAGACGAGUUCUUAGGGAUACAAGUAAUCCAUUUGAAAUUCCUGACGAACUUUUUAAAGGUUUAUAUAGGCUUCCAAAACAGAUAGCAAAUAACUUAAUUAAUGAAUUAAAACCAUUCUUAAUGGAUCCACUCAGAAUUACAUUAAUUCCAAUUCAUUUGAAAGUCCUGUGUGCAUUACAUUUUUAUGCACAUGGAAGUUAUCAAAAAAGCGUUGGGCAAGAUUUUUUACUAGGAAUUUUGAGUCAGUCAGUGGUCAGUCGUUGUAUUGGAGAAAUUAGUAGGGUACUAUCAACACAUCUUAGUAGAAGAUAUAUUAUAUUCCCCACCACCAUAGUGGCAAAGAUGUCAGUAGUUCGUGGUUUUAUGGAAAAGUUUAAUUUCCCAGGUGUAGUGGGAUGUAUAGAUGGUACUCAUAUAGCCAUCAUUUCACCACCCAUUGAUCAUCCACAAAAUCCAGGUUUUGUAUACCUAAACAGGAAAGGAUAUCAUAGUAUCAACUGUCAGAUUAUAUGUGAUUCGAAUUUAAAAAUAAUCAAUUGUAAUGCUAGAUACCCAGGAUCCAUGCAUGACGCAGCAAUUUGGAAUAUGUCGAAUGCAAGCAUACAUAUGGAGGAAACCUAUAAUAAUAAUGAACGAGGAUUUUGGUUGUUAGGUACAUAAUAUAUCCAAAAAAACUGUAUAGGCAUAAGUGCAAAUUACUUUCAUGUUCUGAUAUUGUAGGUGAUUCUGGGUAUCCAUUAUAUAUAACCAUGGCUAUUGACACCAGUAGAAGGGGCACAAGAAGGUACCCCAGAAGGUCGAUACACAUCUGCCCAUAUACAUGUCAGGAACACAAUUGAACGCUGUCAUGGUGUGUUAAAAGCACGUUUCCGCUGCCUUUUAAAGCACCGAGUACUACAUUACUGUCCAGUUACAGCGGCAGCUAUUAUAAAUUCCUGUUGUGUUUUACACAAUAUCCUUAUUGCCCAUAAUAUAGAAGUGGAAGACGAAGACAACUACGAAGACUUAAACAGAGUUGAGGGAAAUCCUGCAGAAAAUAAUGAUGAACCUCCAAAUGCAAAUUUGCUAGGUAUAGGUCGUCGAAUAAGAAACCAACUAAUAAGAAAUUAUUUUAAUUAAAUUAUAUUUGUACACUAACUAAUCUGUUAUAAUAAAGUUUAUAAAAAUUAA